UACGUAGGGUGCGAGCGUUGUCCGGAAUUAUUGGGCGUAAAGAGCUCGUAGGCGGUGUGUCACGUCGAUCGUGAAAACUUACAGCUUAACUGUGAGCGUGCGGUCGAUACGGGCAUCACUGGAGUUCGGCAGGGGAGACUGGAAUUCCUGGUGUAGCGGUGAAAUGCGCAGAUAUCAGGAGGAACACCCGUGGCGAAGGCGGCCCCCUGGGUCGGCCCUGACGCUGAGGCGCGAAAGCGUGGGAGCGAACGGG
rnacentral:rRNA from 1 species